rnacentral:rRNA from 1 species
GAGGGCAAGUCUGGUGCCAGCAGCCGCGGUAAUACCAGCUCCAAUAGCGUAUAUUAAAGUUGUUGCAGUUAAAAAGCUCGUAGUUGGACUUGUGUGCAUGGGAACUCGCGGUCUUCGUCCAAAAGGGCGUUACGACAUGCGGUUCCUGUGCCGUAAAAUCUUCAACUGGAUCGCACCUGGUCUUGAUUGACUGGGAGCUGUCAUUCGGUUGAUCGUUUACUGUGAGAAAAUUAGAGUGUUCAAGGCAGGCAUAAUUGCAAUUGAAUAUGUUAGCAUGGAAUAAUAAGAUAAAGGCUUCUGCAUUUUUUUGGUUUCUAGAGUGGAAGUAAUGAUUGAUAGGGAUAGUUGGGG